rnacentral:rRNA from 1 species
AAGGCAAUGCCUGCCCAGUGAGAACAUCUUUAACGGCCGCGGUACCCUAACCGUGCAAAGGUAGCGUAAUCAUUUGUCUAUUAAUUGUAGACCAGUAUGAAAGGCCACAUGAGAGCCAAACUGUCUCUUGUAAUAAAUCAAUUAAACUGAUCUCCUAGUACAAAAGCUAGGAUAAACCUAUAAGACCAGAAGACCCUGUGAAGCUUAAACUAACCUAUUAAAUCAUAUAAUAGCUACUUUCGGUUGGGGCGACCUUGGAACAAAACAAAACUUCCAAACACAAAUUGGAACUCCCAAUAAAAAUAGGCUAACAAGCCACAGUACGACCCAGUAUAACUGAUUAUUGAACCAAGUUACUCCAGGGAUAACAGCGCUAUCUUCUUCAAGAGCCCAUAUCAAAAAGAAGGUUUACGACCUCGAUGUUGGAUCAGGACACCCAAAUGGUGCAGCCGCUAUUAAAGGUUCGU